GAUGAACGCUGGCGGCGUGCUUAACACAUGCAAGUCGAACGAAGCACCUUAUUCUGAUUUCUUCGGAAUGAAAAAUUUGGUGACUGAGUGGCGGACGGGUGAGUAACGCGUGGGUAACCUGCCUCAUACAGGGGGCUAACAGUUAGAAAUGACUGCUAAGACCGCAUAAGAUCACAGCAACGCAUGGUGCAGGGGUAAAAACUCCGGUGGUAUGAGAUGGACCCGCGUCUGAUUAGGUAGUUGGUGGGGUAACGGCCUACCAAGCCGACGAUCAGUAGCCGACCUGAGAGGGUGACCGGCCACAUUGGGACUGAGACACGGCCCAAACUCCUACGGGAGGCAGCAGUGGGGAAUAUUGCACAAUGGGGGAAACCCUGAUGCAGCGACGCCGCGUGAGUGAUGAAGUAUUUCGGUAUGUAAAGCUCUAUCAGCAGGGAAGAAAAUGACGGUACCUGACUAAGAAGCACCGGCUAAAUACGUGCCAGCAGCCGCGGUAAGAC
rnacentral:rRNA from 1 species